rnacentral:rRNA from 1 species
UACGAAGGGGGCUAGCGUUGUUCGGAAUUACUGGGCGUAAAGCGCGUGUAGGCGGGUCUUUAAGUCAGGGGUGAAAUGCCAAGGCUCAACCUUGGAACUGCCUUUGAUACUGGAGACCUUGAGUCCGGGAGAGGUGAGUGGAAUUGCGAGUGUAGAGGUGAAAUUCGUAGAUAUUCGCAAGAACACCAGUGGCGAAGGCGGCUCACUGGCCCGAUACUGACGCUGAGGCACGAAAGCGUGGGGGAGCAAACAGGA